UCUAUGCUUCUCUAUGCUUCAAGUAAAUCGAUAUUUGUUGGUGGAAUUGAGGUAAUGGUAAAGACUGAUUAUUGUCAAUAAUCAGUCAAGUAAAUCGAUUACAGAGUGGAAUUGAGGUAAUGCUUUUCUAUGCAUUUGAAUUCAAAAACAUGUAUUUGUUGUCAGAAAAGUUGUGUAAUUACAUAUCCUCUGGGAUUUUGACUUAGUUAAGGAACUCAUUAUCUUUCCUUGGACUUGGGAUCUCAUACUGCUUUUUUUAGAAUUUCAAUUAAUUUCACUGAUUUAGGUUGUGUGAUAAUUUCAAUGUUUACAUUGCAUUUUCUUUAAUUCAAUCUGAAUUUCAGGGUACUGCAUCAGUUUCUGAAAAUCAGGAUGCGACUUCGCUGUUGUAAGGUAAUCUUUUUAAAAACCAAUAUCUACUCAUUAAUGAAUGAACAAAAAUGAAAAGAAAAAAUCAUCUCGAACAACAAAGACCUGGUAGUUCUUCAUCUUUAUAUGUGUAUGUGUGUAUCUACUCAUCUUUAUGUGUGUAUGUGUGUAUGUUUCUUUAUAUUUGUUGGUGGAAUUGAGGUAAUGCUUCUCUAUGCAUUUGAAUUCAAAAACAUAUAUUUGUUGUCAGAAAAGUUGUGUAAUUACAUAUCCUCUGGGAUUUUGACUUAGUUAAGGAACUCAUUAUCUUUCCUUGGACUUGGGAUCUCAUACUGCUUUUUUUAGAAUUUCAAUUAAUUUCACUGAUUUAGGUUGUGUGAUAAUUUCAAUGUUUACAUUGCAUUUUCUUUAAUUCAAUCUGAAUUUCAGGGUACUGCAUCAGUUUCUGAAAAUCAGGAUGCGACUUCGCUGUUGUAAGGUCCUGUUGAUGAGUCCAAAAAUCACCUCCCUGAUAUUCUCUGUGUUAUCCAGGUUUGUUUCUUUUUUAUGUGACACACACACCAGUAUUUACACACCAGUAUUUAAGGAUUGGUAAUCUUUUUUAGAAAUUGAAUGACUUUGGUCUUAUUAUACAUUCGUGAGGAAGGUAAUCAAAAAAGAAAGAAGACGAGUUCUUUGUUUUAUCACUUAGGAGCAGUGUGAGAUGAAAGUCUCAUGCAUGGUUUUGAAUGAGAGAAACAAGUGAGGAGAUGUCUGCAACUCUUUUCUGUUACUGCAAACAUUAUUCUAUUGUGACUUCUUUGACAUGACAUGAAUAUCCAUUUCGCCCCUUUUAUACAUCCUUUUGGUGCAAUGUUUUCUCCUCUUUAACCAGACUUCCAUAUCAAUCAAAUACUAUUGUUGCUAGAGUUCUGUCCUCUUCAUAAUAAACUAUAACGUGGAACAUUUGCUAAGCAUAAUAGUUUGGAAAAAUAAGUAUGUUCUUGAAGGAAAUAGGCUGUAACAUGUUAAAAGACACCUGCUUGCAAGGGAAUUGGCUCUAAAUUAAGAAGUUAAUUUGCAACUGAUCCAUACAUGUUUUAGUUUUUGUAAUGUAUGUUCUACAUGCCUUUAGGGAAGCAGAGUCUAUGGUUUUCUGCAGUUCUUGACAUUGGCAUGGUGUCAAACUGUUGGUUGAGGAAUAAGUUAUUGGGUGUUGUUUGUUGUG